AUCUGCCCCCCCCCCCCAUUGCACAGAUAUGGAAAGGAUUGACACUAUCCACAAUGGAGGAAUAGUUGGUGAAGUUGACAAAUUUUGGUGAAAUGGAUAAGAAAGGAAACCUUUGGCAGAACUCUUGUUAAUGUCACUGAUUUCAGAAAGAAAAAUCCAGGUGAAAGUCCUUGCUCCAUUCACAGGAUUCAUUAUAGUUUUACAAUGAGCCGCCUGGAAUCAUAGGAGGUGAUGACAUAGAAUUACAUAUGCUACAGAAUUGGAUGCGAAUUCUGCUGACUGCUGGCUUCCAGCUCAAGGUUUACUCAGCCCAGCGUUGACUCAUCCUUCCAUCCUUCCGAGGUGGGUAAAAUGAGGACCCAGAUUGUUGGGGGC